rnacentral:rRNA from 1 species
GAGGAAAAGAAACUAACAAGGAUUCCCCUAGUAACGGCGAGUGAAGCGGGAAGAGCUCAAAUUUGAAAUCUGGUAGCCUUCGGUUGCCCGAGUUGUAAUCUAGAGAAGUGUUUUCCGCGUUGGCCCAUGUACAAGUCCCUUGGAACAGGGCGUCAUAGAGGGUGAGAAUCCCGUCCUUGACAUGGACCCCCAAUGCUUUGUGAUACACUUUCAACGAGUCGAGUUGUUUGGGAAUGCAGCUCAAAAUGGGUGGUGAAUUCCAUCUAAAGCUAAAUAUUGGCGAGAGACCGAUAGCGAACAAGUACCGUGAGGGAAAGAUGAAAAGCACUUUGGAAAGAGAGUUAAACAGUACGUGAAAUUGUUGAAAGGGAAACGAUUGAAGUCAGUCAUGCUCUUUGGAUUAAGCCGUUCUGCGGUGUAUUUCAUUGAGCGGGGUCAACAUCAGUUUUGAUCGCUGGAAAAGGGCAGGAGGAAGGUAGCACUCUCGGGUGAACUUAUAGCCUCUUGUCGUAUACAGUGAUUGGGACUGAGGAACGCAGCAUGCCUUUUGGCCGGGAUUCGUCCACGUACAUGCUUAGGAU